rnacentral:rRNA from 1 species
AUUGAACGCUGGCGGCAGGCCUAACACAUGCAAGUCGAGCGAGCGGCGGACGGGUGAGUAAUGUAUGGGGAUCUGCCCGCUAGAGGGGGAUAACUACUGGAAACGGUGGCUAAUACCGCAUCCUAUCGGAUGAGCCCAUAUGGGAUUAGCUAGUAGGUGGGGUAAAGGCUCACCUAGGCGACGAUCUCUAGCUGGUCUGAGAGGAUGACCAGCACCAUUGGAACUGAGCCACGGCCCAGAUUCCUACGGGAGGAAGCAGUGGGGAAUAUUGGAAAAUGGGCGCAAGCCUGAUGAAGCCAUGCCGCGUGUAUGAAGAAGGCUUUAGGGUUGUAAAGUACUUUCAGCGGGGAGGCGUUACCCGCAGAAGAAGCACCGGCUAACUCCGUGCCAGCAGCCGCGGUAAUUC